rnacentral:rRNA from 1 species
GAUGAACGCUGGCGGCGUGCCUAAUACAUGCAAGUAGAACGCUGAAGCUUGGUGCUUGCCCCGAGCGGAUGAGUUGCGAACGGGUGAGUAACGCGUAGGUAACCUGCCUCUUAGCGGGGGAUAACUAUUGGAAACGAUAGCUAAUACCGCAUAAAAGUCGAUAUCGCAUGAUAUUGAUUUGAAAGGUGCAAAUGCAUCACUAAGAGAUGGACCUGCGUUGUAUUAGCUAGUUGGUGAGGUAACGGCUCACCAAGGCGACGAUACAUAGCCGACCUGAGAGGGUGAUCGGCCACACUGGACCUGGGACACGGCCCAGGCUCCUACGGGAGGCAGCAGUAGGGAAUCUGCGGCAAUGGGGGCAACCCUGACCCAACAACGCCGCGUGAGAGAAGAAGGUUUCGGGAUCGUAAAGCUGUGUUGUAGGGGAAAAACGGGUGUGAGAGUGGAAGGUUCAAACGUGACCGGAACUGUACAAGAAGGGGCGGCCAAACUCCGG